UGCCAGUGAUAAACUGGAGGAAGGUGGGGAUGACGUCAAGUCAUCAUGGCCCUUACGAGUAGGGCUACACACGUGCUACAAUGGCGCAUACAAAGAGAAGCGACCUCGCGAGAGCAAGCGGACCUCAUAAAGUGCGUCGUAGUCCGGAUUGGAGUCUGCAACUCGACUCCAUGAAGUCGGAAUCGCUAGUAAUCGUGGAUCAGAAUGCCACGGUGAAUACGUUCCCGGGCCUUGUACACACCGCCCGUCACACCAUGGGAGUGGGUUGC
rnacentral:rRNA from 1 species